AAUGAACGCUGGCGGCGUGCUUAACACAUGCAAGUCGAACGAGAAAGUUUUCUUCGGAAAACGAGUAAAGUGGCGCACGGGUGAGUAACGCGUGAAUAAUCUACCCCUGAAUUUGGGAUAACAGUUCGAAAGGGCUGCUAAUACCGGAUGACAUAAUCCUUACCACGGUUUGGAUUAUCAAAGAGGGCCUCUCCUUGGAAGCUCUUGUUUGGGGAUGAGUUCGCGUACCAUUAGCUUGUUGGUGGGGUAAUGGCCUACCAAGGCUUCGAUGGUUAGCUGGUCUGAGAGGAUGAUCAGCCACACUGGAACUGACACACGGUCCAG
rnacentral:rRNA from 1 species